rnacentral:lncRNA from 1 species
CCCCCAACACCCUUUCACUUUCUUCAGUCACCUUUUCCCACACGCCUCUUCAUCUUUCCCUCCUUUAUCUUUUCAAAUAGUCGCCUACAUCCCUCUCUUUUCCUUAGCUCUCUUAAUCAUCCUCUCUUCUCUCUCUCUAACCCUUUAAAAUUCAUCUUCCAUCUUCUUCCAUGACUAGAACUUAUUCAAUUGCAAACAUGUCAAAAUUUUCUCCCAAAGCCCUCUCCGACAGUCCUAUUCUCUUUUCUGAGUCCUCUGACAAAUGCUCGAUGGGCUCUCAAUUAACUCUCAUUAAAAUAUGAUAUCCUACUUCCAGUACAACCCCCUCUUCGAAGA